rnacentral:rRNA from 1 species
AUGCUUGUUGGUGGUUGGGGGAGUAUGAACUUUUACCAUUCUGCAUGGGAACUGCCUAUAAUGCAUGUAGUAUGGAAGAUACAACCAUCUCCUAGUUGUUGUGUUGACAGCAAAAGUAUGCCGCUCAAAAUGUUAUUCAAUCUCUAUUUUAAAAUCGAGCUCUGUCACCUCUACAAAUCCCUGCUUCCCUCUGAGAAGGGCCUAUCUAUUUAUUUUUAUGUUGAGUCAUCACCCUUCUUAUUAAAAGCACCCGCUGGAGAGCACACUGUUAUUUGCGUGUAUUACUAUUGGUUUAUAUUGGGUAUGACUUGA